rnacentral:rRNA from 1 species
CACGUAGGGUGCGAGCGUUGUCCGGAAUUACUGGGCGUAAAGAGCUCGUAGGCGGUUUGUCGCGUCUGCUGUGAAAACUCGGGGCUUAACUCCGGGCCUGCAGUGGGUACGGGCAGACUAGAGUGCGGUAGGGGAGACUGGAAUUCCUGGUGUAGCGGUGAAAUGCGCAGAUAUCAGGAGGAACACCGGUGGCGAAGGCGGGUCUCUGGGCCGAUACUGACGCUGAGGAGCGAAAGCGUGGGGAGCGAACAGG